rnacentral:sRNA from 1 species
UUCGACUCGAGCGAAGCGAGAGAACGUUGCCGCAGGCAACGGCCCGAAGAGCGAGGCGCUUUAGCGCCGAGUAAUCCUUCCCCCACCACCA